rnacentral:rRNA from 1 species
AUGUCUUCCUCCGGCUCCUCCCAGAUCGGCCUCAACAACCAGGUCACGGAGAAGCUCACCCAUAUGAACUAUGUAUUGUGGCGCGUCCAGAUCACACCACAGCUAAGGGGAACUAGCGUCUUCGGCUAUGCCGACGGCAGCACGCCGGAGCCAGCCCGCUUCUUUCCUGGCAAGGACAAGGACGGCAUGGACUCCACCGAGCCCAACCCUCUCCACCCAAUCUGGGUCCGGGAGGAUCAACAAGUGCUCGGGUACCUGCUCAACAAUCUCUCCAAAGAGGUGUUGGUGCAGGUGACCGCGAUCACCACGAUGCACGCGCUCUGGACAACCCUGGCGGCCAUGUUCUCCUCACAGUCGCUCAGCCGCAUCAACAACAUCCGCACGGCUCUGCUUCAUGCGCAGAAGGGAACACAGCCGGUCACCACCUUCUUCGCCCACAUGCGCGGCCUCGCUGAUGAACUGGCCGCGGCAGGCAAACCACUGCAAGACGAGGAGAUCGUCUCCUACAUCAUCCACGCGCUGGACAUGGAGUACCAGCCUCUGGUGUCGGCUCUCGACGCUCGCACCUCCCCCGUCACCCUGGAUGAGCUGUUCACCAUGAUCAGCAACUUCGAUCAGCGCAUGGCGCUCUACCAGGGUUGGGGUGGCUUCAAGCCGCGGCGGCCCUUCACUCGGCAAGGCCCGAUCUGGUGGCGGCAGCAACUCCUCCAACAGCACCAAUCCACGCGCCAGACGCUCCCCCUCCACCAACUCCAAGGGACGCGGCGGCGCUGGUGGCCGCGGCUCCAACAGAGCGCACCUUGA